rnacentral:rRNA from 1 species
UACAACUUUCAACAACGGAUCUCUUGGCUCUCGCAUCGAUGAAGAACGCAGCGAAAUGCGAUAAGUAAUGUGAAUUGCAGAAUUCAGUGAAUCAUCGAAUCUUUGAACGCACCUUGCGCUCCUUGGUAUUCCGAGGAGCAUGCCUGUUUGAGUG